rnacentral:rRNA from 1 species
UACGAAGGGGGCUAGCGUUGCUCGGAAUCACUGGGCGUAAAGGGCGCGUAGGCGGCCAUUCAAGUCGGAGGUGAAAGCCCAGGGCUCAACCCUGGAAUUGCCUUCGAUACUGUCUGGCUAGAGACCGGAAGAGGUAAGUGGAACUGCGAGUGUAGAGGUGAAAUUCGUAGAUAUUGGGAAGAACACCGGUGGCGAAGGCGGCUCUCUGGACCGAUACUGACGCUGAGGCGCGAAAGCGUGGGGAGCAAACAGG